GUUUCUAAAGGUGUUGUAGCAUCCCAAAUCAUCAAUAAAUAACUAAGAAGUUUCCAAAAGAAGGAAGUGCAGCCAAACCCUUCCUGCACUUCAGAAACUCAACAUUUUCCAAUUAUGUUUCUUUUUCAUCACCGAUCUUUUUGCUUCCAAGUCAUCGAUUGAAUUUGCAAUACAUUGAAGUAGAUUUGUCAAUCUGAACGAAAAAACACUGCAACAAGAUCAAACACAUAAC
rnacentral:lncRNA from 1 species